AUUGAACGCUGGCGGCAGGCCUAACACAUGCAAGUCGAGCGGAUGAAGGGAGCUUGCUCCUGGAUUCAGCGGCGGACGGGUGAGUAAUGCCUAGGAAUCUGCCUGGUAGUGGGGGAUAACGUCCGGAAACGGGCGCUAAUACCGCAUACGUCCUGAGGGAGAAAGCGGGGGAUCUUCGGACCUCACGCUAUCAGAUGAGCCUAGGUCGGAUUAGCUAGUUGGUGGGGUAAAGGCCUACCAAGGCGACGAUCCGUAACUGGUCUGAGAGGAUGAUCAGUCACACUGGAACUGAGACACGGUCCAGACUCCUACGGGAGGCAGCAGUGGGGAAUAUUGGACAAUGGGCGAAAGCCUGAUCCAGCCAUGCCGCGUGUGUGAAGAAGGUCUUCGGAUUGUAAAGCACUUUAAGUUGGGAGGAAGAGCAGUAAGUUAAUACCUUGCUGUUUUGACGUUACCAACAGAAUAAGCACCGGCUAACUUCGUG
rnacentral:rRNA from 1 species